rnacentral:piRNA from 1 species
UGAUGAAAGCUUCCUGAGUGGUGUCGGGUC